GGAGAAGCUGUUGGCUCAGUGGCAGAGCAUCCGCUUUGCAUGCAGAAGGUCCCAGAUUCAAUCCUGGUAUCUCUA
rnacentral:tRNA from 1 species